rnacentral:lncRNA from 1 species
GGGGGUCUCCUGGGUCUAACACAGUGAAUGUCAGACGGUCAGAGUUCUGUGGAGUGAAGGUUUUUGUAGGAUGAGAGGGAAGUCGAAAAUAAGCAAGGCGAACGAAUGCGGGACGGGGGCAGGAACGCCAGAUCCUUAACCCACUGAGCGAGGCCAGGGAUCAAAGCGCAACCUCAUGUUACUAUUCCGAUUCGAUUCUGCUGCGCCAAAAGGGGAACUCCAGAGAAGUUGCAUUUUUAAAAAUGUUAACACUUGCUUUACUUACAGCUUCUGGGUUAGAUGUCCUGAUUAAAAUGGCUCCUACUAACAACUUGCUUUACAUUUCUAUUUGUAACCGACAUUUGCACUUCCUUUAACACUAUUACUUACCAUCUGGCACCCGCUUUCCAAGGUGAAUUCUCCUGCAGGACCGCAGGGGCCGAGUGCCCCUUGCCCUCUGCCUCCUGGAAGUCUUGCGCGUCCGGAGAGCGGGGGAGGUUAGCCGCGGGCAGUUUUUUUUUUUUUGCGCAGUGGCAAAGGGGCUUAUUGGCAGCUGAAAUAGAAGUAGGUUUGGUCCCUGGGGUGCUCGCGCGUCCCAGGGUUGCUGUCAGUGGCGGUGGUGGGGCUCUGCGGCCACACUUACUGGAUCUUGGCCAGACGCGUAAUUCCCCCCAGAGCCACGUGGGCUCUUUGCCCACAUGGGGGAGAGUUUACUUUCCAGGGAGACUGGCGUGUGCUUCUGUGGAGUUUUUAAGGUGUGGAGGCCAAGGGUUCUGUAGCACGAAGUUUUGUAGCGAGGCUUCCUGUCUGCCUGGAAAAUCACCACCUCUUUCUCUUUUUUUUAAUGUGGCCGCGCCCUGGCUGGCGGAAGUUCUGGGGUCAGGGAUCGAACUGGCGCCAAAGCAGCGACCCAAGCCGCAGCAGUGACAAUGCCGGAUCUUUAACCCGCUGCGCGACUCCGCCACCGCCUCUUCGCUUUUGUGAUUUUCUCCUCCAGUUCCUCCUCCUAUCCAGGGUAUUCAAACUCUGGUUUUCAGGGGCCUCAGGUCCAACCGGCUCCGGCAAGGGUGGGUGCGGCUCCGGGCAAGAUCCUGCGAGAAGAGCCCGCGGCUGUCCGGGCGUGAGUAGACCGUGAACGCUGCCCUCUCCUCCGGAGCUGAGCCUUCCGGCGGGCUCCGCCCUCGGCUGCGGAAGCUUAGCGCUGUCCCCUGAUCCCGGCAGAAAAGGAUUGAGUCUCAAGUUUUCGGGCCCGUCUUUGAGCCUCUUUGGGUCUCAUCUCCAGCACUCCAAGUCUCCAGGCGUCUGUCGCUUUUAACAGUCUCAGGGGUGGAUUCUGUUUGCUCCUUUCUUCCUUGCAGGGUCCCAAAGGCUAAUUAAACUCGUGUUUAUGGA